rnacentral:rRNA from 1 species
GAUGAACGCUGGCGGCGUGCCUAAUACAUGCAAGUCGAGCGAACAGACGAGGAUCUUGCUCCUCGGACGUUAGCCGCGGACGGGUGAGUAACACGUGUAUAACCUACCUAUAAUACUGAUAUCACUUCGGGACACCGGAUCUAAUAGCGUAUAAGAUCUUGAAGCACAUUGUUCAAUGGUGAAAGUCGGCGGUGCUGUCACUUCUAGAUGGAUCUCCGCCGCAUUAGAUAGUUGUGAAGUUAACGGCUUAUCAAGGCGACGAGGCGUAGCCGACCUGAGAGGGGGAUAGCCGACACUGGAACGGAGCCACGGUCAAGAGUCCUACGGGAGGCAGCAGUCGGGAACCGUACGCAGUGGGCGAAAGUAUGACGGAGCAAGGGCGCGUGAGUGACGAAGGUGUCCGGAGCGUAAUACUGUGUUACUAGGGAUAAACAAAUGUGUACGUAACUAUGCACGUCUUGACGGUAACUAAUCAGAAAGCACCGGCUAACUACGUG